rnacentral:lncRNA from 10 species
CUUUCUCAGGACUUUCCAGAUUUUAGCACUGAAAGUAUCACAUCCCUGAAAUCCACUUGCUAGAAACCCCUCAGUCCGGAGCAAAUCAGGGCAUUUGGUCCUCUUAUGCAGAGGCGUGGAUGGUGCUAAGGAAUGUUAGAGGGUAGGGAGGGGCAGAGGGUGGCAGCUUCCAAGAAGCAGAUUCUGGAUAUUCUUAGCAAAAGCCGGAAAGAAAAUGGCUUUCCUGCAACCCAUAUGGCUGGCUCAACUCUUCACUUACAGGAGACAUGAGUGAGUUUGGGUCAAGUUUUUAAUAAAUGAAGCCACAACUUUGGCAGAUUUGUUAGCACUGCGGUUACACAGAGUGGAAGAUGAUGUCCGAAGGAUUGUGGACAAGGCGGUGAAAGAGCUGGGGACUGAGAAGGUUAUUACUGAAAUCAGUCAGACCUGGGCAACCAUGAAGUUUUCUUACGAAGUUCACUAUCGAACAGGCAUUCCAUUACUAAAGUCUGAUGAACAACUUUUUGAAACUCUAGAGCACAACCAAGUUCAGUUGCAGACUCUUCUUCAAAGCAAGUAUGUAGAAUAUUUCAUUGAGCAAGUGUUAAGCUGGCAAAAUAAAUUAAACAUAGCAGACUUGGUCAUCUUCACUUGGAUGGAAGUCCAGCGAACUUGGUCUCACCUGGAAAGCAUUUUUGUCUGUUCAGAAGAUAUUCGAAUCCAGCUUGUGAAAGAUGCUAGAAGAUUUGAUGGGG